rnacentral:lncRNA from 1 species
UUCUUCCUUAGUUUCUUGAGAUUAUCAUCCGCUGAGGGUGGAAGGGGAGUGAGCAGACACACUCAGGAGGUGUCUUGAGAUUAUCAUCCGCUGAGGGUGGAGCUGAGGGUGGAAGGGGAGUGAGCAGACACUCGGGAGGUGUCUUGAGAUUAUCAUCCGCUGAGGGUGGAAGGGGAUAGAGCAGGCACUCGGCAGGUGUCUUGAGAUUAUCAUCCGCUGAGGGUGGAAGGGGAUAGAGCACACACUCGGAAGGUGUCUUGAGAUUAUCAUCCGCUGAGGGUAGAGCUGAGGGUGGAAGGGGAGUGAGCAGACACUCGGGAGGUGUCUUGAGAUUAUCAUCCGCUGAGGGUGGAAGGGGAUAGAGCACACACUCGGAAGGUGUCUUGAGGCUCAGGGAGUUAUCAAUUAUAGAAUGUUGUUG